UGCAUGCUGGCCAGCAAAACUGUGCAGGUUAUGAUUGGUGUAGGUGCGGUGGUGGAAAAUAGUUACAGACCUUUGACUAGGGUGUCAUGGUGGCGUGUUGGAGCUGACGACUUAGAAUUCCGCUAAGGUCAUUCUUCCAAUCGAAAAGGGUGGAUGCUUGGGUUUUGGAAGGACCAUUCCCUCACUUGCCAACAUCACAACAACAUCAGACAUGGUUGAUCUAUCUUUCGCAUCUUCUUGAACACAUAACAGACCAAUCUGUAUGCAUCUCUCAACUUCACUUCCUACGAAGGAUUUUUCCAGCGUUGGAUCCAUCAUUUCCAAACAUUUUCCUUCACACCAUAUUCUCCAAGCCUACAAGUAUUUGUAGUUUGUUAAUACUGUCAAGCAUUAACCAUAAUUGUUGAAUAGUUUCUUGGCCAUAUAUAACUGAGGAGACUUACA